rnacentral:rRNA from 1 species
UACGUAGGGUGCAAGCGUUGUCCGGAAUUAUUGGGCGUAAAGAGCGUGUAGGCGGCCCGACAAGUCCGCUGUGAAAGUCCAGGGCUCAACCCUGGAAAGCCGGUGGAUACUGUCGGGCUAGAGUCCGGAAGGGGCGAGUGGAAUUCCUGGUGUAGCGGUGAAAUGCGCAGAUAUCAGGAGGAACACCAAUGGCGAAGGCAGCUCGCUGGGACGUGACUGACGCUGAGACGCGAAAGCGUGGGGAGCAAACAGG